GUAGGGAAAACAUUCUUGUAUACUACAAAUUCAGUGUUUUGCUUAUAUGUUGGAGACUACAUGAGAUUUUGACAGAUGGCGGAAAACCCUCAUCAACUGGAGAUCAGCCGGUAAAAAGGUAGAGGAAUGUCUGCGACUAAGCCGAGGGCCACUGCAUAAGGGUUAUUGAUGGCAAAACAGGUUGGAGACUACAUGACAUUUUGACAGAUGGCGGGAAACCCUCAUCAACUGGAGAUCAGCCGGUAAAAAGGUAGAGGAAUGUCUGCGACUAAGCCGAGGGCCACUGCAUAAGGGUUAUUGAUGGCAAAACAAGUUGGAGACUACAUGAGAUUUUGACAGAUGGCGGGAAACCCUCAUCAACUGGAGAUCAGCCGGUAAAAAGGUGGCCUUAAAACAGUGACCGUUGAUUCGCGUCGAGUUCUUUCUUACAUACUGUAUGACCUAUCUUUUUUAUUGUUUAAAUCCAUUCGGCUUGGCAUGCUCUUUAAGAAAAGGUAUGGG